CUUAUACUCCCUCCGUCCGAAAAUACUUGUCAUUGAAAUGGAUGUAUCUAGAUGUAUUUUAUUUCUAAACACAUCCAUUUUGAUGACAAGUAAUUCCGGAUGGAGGGAGUACUUG
rfam:Triticum aestivum genome assembly, contig: Triticum_aestivum_CS42_TGACv1_scaffold_254333_3DL